AUUGAACGCUGGCGGCAGGCCUAACACAUGCAAGUAGAGCGAGCGGCGGACGGGUGAGUAAUGUCUAGGAAACUGCCUGAUGGAGGGGGAUAACUACUGGAAACGGUAGCGAAUACCGCAUACCAUCAGAUGUGCCAAGCGGGGGGUAGCUGGGAGGUGGGGUAACGGCUCACCUUGGCGACGAUCCCUAGCUGGUCUGAGAGGAUGACCAGCCAUACUGGACCUGAUGGACGGUCCAGACUCCUACGGUAGGAAGCAGUGGGGAAUAUGGCACAAUGGGCGCAAGCCUGAUGCAUCCAUGCCGCGUGUGUGAAGAAGGCCGUCGGGUUGUAAAGCACUUUCAGCGGGGAGGCGUUACCCGCAGAAGAAGCACCGGCUAACUCCGUGCCAGCAGCCGCGGUAAUUC
rnacentral:rRNA from 1 species